UACGGGGGGAGCAAGCGUUGUUCGGAUUUACUGGGCGUAAAGGGCGCGUAGGCGGCUCAACAAGUCACUUGUGAAAUCUCCGGGCUUAACCCGGAGCGGCCAAGUGAUACUGUCGUGCUAGAGUGCGGAAGGGGCUACUGGAAUUCUCGGUGUAGCGGUGAAAUGCGUAGAUAUCUGGAGGAAUACCGGUGGCGAAGGCGGCAUCCUGGACCAUUACUGACGCUGAGGCGCGAAAGCUAGGGGAGCAAACAGG
rnacentral:rRNA from 1 species